rnacentral:rRNA from 1 species
CGUAGGGUGCGAGCGUUAAUCGGAAUUACUGGGCGUAAAGCGUGCGCAGGCGGUUUUGUAAGACAGGCGUGAAAUCCCCGGGCUCAACCUGGGAACUGCGCUUGUGACUGCAAGGCUAGAGUACGGCAGAGGGGGGUGGAAUUCCACGUGUAGCAGUGAAAUGCGUAGAGAUGUGGAGGAACACCAAUGGCGAAGGCAGCCCCCCGGGGUCGAUACUGACGCUCAUGCACGAAAGCGUGGGUAGCAAACAGGAUUAGAUACCCUGGUAGUCCACGCCCUAAACGAUGUCAACUAGGUGUUGGGUGGGUAAAACCAUUUAGUACCGGAGCUAACGCGUGAAGUUGACCGCCUGGGGAGUACGGCCGCAAGGUUA